AACUCCAUCUCAAAAAAAAGAAAUUUAUUGCAUGCUACCAUGGGCCAACCUGUGUGUAUUACACUGUUAGUAUGAUGUUCCACUCUCAAUCAGAAGGAACACAAUGUGGAGACCAAGGGCAUGAGCUUUGGUAGUCAGGUAGUACUGGGUUCAAAUCCUAGUUUAUCAUGGUUUUAGUUAUUCAUUAGGUUGUAACAGACCACCCCAGAAUUUCUGGAUUUAAAACAACAGCGAUUUAUUAUUCCUUCAUGGUCUGUGGGUCAGCUGUGACUGUGUCUGUGGCUGUGGGCCCUGCUGGUCUCACGUAGACUCUCACACAGCUGCAUUAUGUUGAGAGCCUAACAGGAGAGGGACAUCAAAAUAGCCUCUCAUUCUUCAGGGUCUUAAUACACAUGGCAUCUAAUCAUUUGCUAGUCUAGCCCAAGUUUCUUAUGUGGCAGCUGGAUCCCAAGAGGGAGUAUUCCAAGAGGACAAGUCCUAAGUUACUGCUGAUGGAGCCUCUGCCUGCAUCAGGCUUGCAAAUGUCCAGUUGGCCAAAGCAAGUCACAUGGCCAAUCCCUGAGUCAGUGUGGGAGGAGAGCACAUAAGGACAGGAAUACUGGGAGGCAUGUCUCAUUGGGAACCACCAAAGCAACAGUCCAUUACAGGCCUUCCUUGGGCAAGUGAUUUGGACACUGAGCCUCAGUUUCCUCAUCCUAGUAUGGAAGCAGUACCACCUACUUGGCAGCAUUGUUGUGAGGACCAAGUGAAUAGCAUGAUGUCUGACCAGAAUCAUUAGUAGAUAAGUAUUCACUGUUUUGAUUGUUAAACUACAGGCACCCUAAUGGCACAACUCUCAUUCAUUUAUGUGUACCCAGUGCCUAACAUGGGCCUUGUGCUGGACAUCGUUUGCUGGGUGGAUAAAAUGGAAUGAAGCAGACAAGCCCUAAGCCUAAGAGCUCAGCUAGAGCAAAGCUGCAGCAUUGAGAAGACACAGCAAGCUCUUACCUCCCAGUAGGUGACCAGCAGAACCAGGAAGCCACCUGUUAUUCAAGGCCCAACUACAAUGAUGGAGAGAAAACUGUAUAGCUGGAAGAAGAAAAACCCUCCUAGUUGAAGAGGGGGGUGAGGAAAAAAACCUGGACCGUGGUCCACAUGCUUGACUGAAUGAUGGGCUCCUUUCAACCAGAGUGUGUCUCUUGCUUGUUGGACCUUACUGAGGCCGUUGGAAAGACACUC
rnacentral:lncRNA from 10 species